rnacentral:rRNA from 1 species
AGUGAACGCUGGCGGUAGGCCUAACACAUGCAAGUCGAACGGCAGCACAGUAAGAGCUUGCUCUUACGGGUGGCGAGUGGCGGACGGGUGAGGAAUACAUCGGAAUCUACUUUUUCGUGGGGGGUAACGUAGGGAAACUUACGCUAAUACCGCAUACGACCUACGGGUGAAAGCAGGGGAUCUUCGGACCUUGCGCGAUUGAAUGAGCCGAUGUCGGAUUAGCUAGUUGGCGGGGUAAAGGCCCACCAAGGCGACGAUCCGUAGCUGGUCUGAGAGGAUGGUCAGCCACACUGGAACUGAGACACGGUCCAGACUCCUACGGGAGGCAGCAGUGGGGAAUAUUGGACAAUGGGCGCAAGCCUGAUCCAGCCAUACCGCGUGGGUGAAGAAGGCCUUCGGGUUGUAAAGCCCUUUUGUUGGGAAAGAAAAGCAGCAGGUUAAUACCCCGCUGUUCUGACGGUACCCAAAGAAUAAGCACCGGCUAACUUCGUG